rnacentral:tRNA from 1 species
GAAAUAUAUUAUUAGGGGGAGGCUGCUAACUUCUUACUCUUAGCGGUGAAAUUCCGUUAAUAUUUCU